CGGGAGCCGGGCCCCUCGGAACGCAGACGCCUAGCCGCCGGGCAGCCGAGGACGAGCUGCCGACCCGGGCUCCCCUCACCCCACCCCGAGGAGGCCCCAGGAGGGGCUUCGGCGCCGCGGCCGCGCGUUCGGGAAGGAGGACGAGAAAGGAGCGGCGCGCGGCCGGCCGGCUGAGAGGAAGCGCUGCGCCCGCGCCCCCGACGGCGCCCGUGAAACCACAUCCGCGCCUCCGCUGGAAGCGCGUCCGGGCGCCUGUCACCGGGUCCCUCCAUCUUGAAAGGGAGAAAAAAGCGCUCUCCCGUCCCCGCUCCCCUCCUCCCAGGAGCCGGGGCCGCAGGAGCCGCGCGCAUGGCGUUCAGCCCCUGGCAGAUCCUGUCGCCCGUGCAGUGGGCGAGAUGGACGUGGUCCGCGGUGCGCGGCGGGGGCGCCGGAGAGGAGGAGGCCGGAGGGCCGGAGGGCAACCCCGAGGACGAGGACUCGCAAGCCGAGACCAAAUCCUUGAGUUUCAGGAGUGGCUGUAAGGUGAAGAAAUAUGAAGCCCAGUCUCUUGCUUUGGAUGGGUGUUCUCAGGAUGAAGAAGCAGUGAUCUCCCAGAUCGCAGACAUUUCUAAUAGGGACGGUCAUGCUACCGAUGAGGAGAAGCUGGCAUCCACGUCAUCGGGUCAGAAACCCACUGGGGCCGAGGGGAAAGGUGAGCCAGAGGACGACCUGGAGUACUUUGAAUGUUCCAAUGUUCCCGUGUCUGCCAUAAAUCAUGCGUUUUCAUCCUCUGAAGCAGGCACUGAGAAGGAACCGUGUCAGAAGAUGGAGAAGGAUGGAUCCACUGUGCCCGCACUGCUGGAAUCCCCGGUGGAGAAGACCCCCGUGUCUGUGGCCUGCGGGGUGGAGAGCCCCCUGGACGGCAUCUGCCUCAGCGAAUCAGAUAAGACCGCCGUGCUCACCCUGAUAAGGGAAGAGAUAAUCACUAAAGAGAUCGAAGCAAGUGAGUGGAAGAAGAAAUACGAAGAAACCCGACAAGAAGUCUUGGAGAUGAGGAAAAUUGUGGCUGAGUAUGAGAAGACCAUUGCCCAAAUGAUUGAAGAUGAACAGAGGACAAGCAUGAGCUCUCAGAAGAGCUUCCAGCAGCUGACCAUGGAGAAGGAGCAGGCCCUGGCUGACCUCAACUCGGUGGAAAGGUCCCUCUCCGACCUGUUCAGGAGAUAUGAGAACCUGAAGGGCGUCCUGGAAGGGUUCAAGAAGAAUGAAGAAGCCUUGAAAAAAUGUGCUCAGGAUUACUUAGCCAGAGUUAAACAAGAAGAGCAAAGGUAUCAGGCCCUGAAGAUCCACGCUGAGGAAAAACUAGACAAAGCCAAUGAGGAGAUUGCUCAGGUUCGAACAAAAGCCAAGGCUGAGAGCGCGGCUCUCCACGCGGGGCUCCGGAAGGAACAGAUGAAGGUGGAGUCCUUGGAGAGGGCCCUUCAGCAGAAGAACCAAGAAAUCGAAGAACUGACGAAAAUCUGCGAUGAGCUGAUUGCCAAGCUGGGAAAGACGGACUGAGUUUCCCCUGUAAGCUCAGCAGAUCUGCAUUCGGCUGCUUCUCUCGUGACCACAAUUAUCUUGCCUUAUCCAGGAAUAAUUGCCCCUUUGCAGAGAAAAAAAACACUUUAUGAAAGCACAUGCCUACUGCUGCCUGUCCCGCUUUGCUGCCGACACGCCCGCCCCGAGAAAACGCUGGAGGAUUCAUCACGCAGACAUGGAAAGAGUGGCCCGACCAUCCUGUCGAUGGGCUCUGGGCAGGAUUCUCUAUCUUUGUGUGUGAGGAGCCUCGUCCGGAGGAAUCUAACGCUGCAUUGACUACUGCUGUCAGGAU
rnacentral:lncRNA from 1 species